rnacentral:rRNA from 1 species
CCAGACUCCUACGGGAGGCAGCAGUGGGGGAUAUUGCACAAUGGAGGAAACUCUGAUGCAGCGACGCCGCGUGAGUGAAGAAGUAUUUCGGUAUGUAAAGCUCUAUCAGCAGGGAAGAUGAUGACGGUACCUGACUAAGAAGCCCCGGCUAACUACGUGCCAGCAGCCGCGGUAAUACGUAGGGGGCAAGCGUUAUCCGGAUUUACUGGGUGUAAAGGGAGCGCAGGCGGUUUUGCAAGUUGAGAGUGGAAGCAGGGGGCUCAACCCCCUGACUGCUCCCAAAACUGUAAAACUUGAGUAUGGGAGAGGCAGGCGGAAUUCCUAGUGUAGCGGUGAAAUGCUUAGAUAUUAGGAAGAACACCGGUGGCGAAGGCGGCCUGCUGGACCAAAACUGACGCUGAGGCUCGAAAGCGUGGGUAGCAAACAGGAUUAGAUACCCUGGUAGUCCACGCUGUAAACGAUGAAUACUAGGUGCUGGGAGGCAUAAGCCUUUCGGUGCCGUCGCAAACGCAUUAAGUAUUCCACCUGGGGAGUACGUUCGCAAGAAUGAAACUCAAAGGAAUUGACGGGGGCCCGCACAAG